rnacentral:rRNA from 1 species
AUUGAACGCUGGCGGCAGGCCUUACACAUGCAAGUCGAGCGGAGCGGCGGACGGGUGAGUAUUGCCUAGGAAUCUGCAUGGUAGUGGGGGAUAACGUACGGUAACGGGCGCUAAUACUGCAUACUAUCAGAUGAGCCUAGGUCGGAUUAGAUAGUUGGUGUGGUAAAGGCCUACCAAGGCGACGAUCCGUAACUGGGCUGAGAGGAUGAUCAGUCACACGGGAACUGAGACACGGUCCAGACUCCUACGGGAGGCAGCAGUGGGGAAUAUUGGACAAUGGGCGAAAGCCUGAUCCAGCCAUGCCGCGUGUGUGAAGAAGGUCUUCGGAUUGUAAAGCACUGUAAGUUGGGAGGCGUUACCAACAGAAUAAGCACCGGCUAACUUCGUGCCAGCAGCCGCGGUAAUUC